CAAACUCUAGCCGCCGGCACCCUACCUCGUCGGCGACGGCGGCGGAUGCAUGAGGAGAAGGGGAGAUGGUGAUCAAUUUUUCUUUCUUUUUUCUUUUUAAUUUGUAAUUGGCCCGAGUGGGCUGGGUGUGGUUGGUUGAGUAGAGUAACUUUUUAUUUUUUAUUGGAUUGAGCUUUAGAUUUAGGCCUUAGUAGAAUUUUUUAAAAAUUUUGGUAUAAAUGGGACACUUAUAUAAAAGUGUCCCAAAGAUGUGUCCUUAUAAUCUAAUUCUGUUGUAGUGAGAAGGAAAAAAUAGUCUCGAUGCAUUA
rnacentral:lncRNA from 1 species